CCUACGGGAGGCAGCAGUAGGGAAUCUUUCACAAUGGGCGAAAGCCUGAUGGAGCAACGCCGCGUGCAGGAUGAAGGCCUUCGGGUUGUAAACUGCUUUUAUAAGCGAGAAAUAUGAUGGUAACUUAUGAAUAAGGAUCGGCUACCUACGUGCCAGCAGCCGCGGUCAUACGUAGGAUCCGAGCAUUAUCCGGAGUGACUGGGUGUAAAGAGUUGCGUAGGUGGCAUAAUAAGUAGCUAGUGAAAUCUGGUGGCUCAACCAUUCAGACUAUUAGCUAAACUGUUAAGCUCGAGACCGUUAGGGGUAACUGGAAUGUCUAGUGUAGGAGUGAAAUCCGUAGAUAUUAGAAGGAACACCAAUAGCGUAGGCAGGUUGCUGGGACGGUUCUGACACUAAGGCACGAAAGCGUAGGGAGCAAACGGGAUUAGAUACCCGGGUAGUC
rnacentral:rRNA from 1 species